CAAUAGCGUAUAUUAAAGUUGUUGCAGUUAAAAAGCUCGUAGUUGGAUUUCCGGGUCGGGCGGCCGGUCCGCGUGGGCUUUGUCCCAUGUGUGCACUGCGCCAUGUCCCGUCCCCUGUCCGUGGAGAGGCUUUCUGGCAUUAAGUUGCCGGUUAGCGGAUCCGCGCCCUUUACUGUGAAAAAAUUAGAGUGUUUAAAGCAGGCGCUGCCGCUUGAAUACAUUAGCAUGGAAUAAUAACAUAGGACUCCGGUGCUAUUUUGUUGGCUUGCACACCGAGGUAAUGAUUAAUAGGGAUAGUUGGGGGCAUUCAUAUUCCGUUGUCAGAGGUGAAAUUCUUGGAUUUACGGAAGAUGAACUUCUGCGAAAGCAUUUGCCAAGGAUGUUUUCAUUA
rnacentral:rRNA from 1 species